CAACUUUCCUUUGCCAACCUCCUCCACCAUAAUGUUUUUGCCUUAGAGCCAGUUAACAAUGGACUGAAUUCUCUGAAACCAUAAACCAAAUUAAACCUCUCCUCCUUUAGGUUGUGUCAGUUAUGUUGUUCUACCAGCAAAAAAGCUUACCCAUACAAGAUUUAUUAUAUCAAACCAGAAGUCUUGCAACAAGAUUCACCAUGACCAUCAGAAAUGUGCUGAUGAGAGGCACCAUCAACACUCAAAAGAUAUUAUUCUACACUUACUUUUAAAAUGUAUACUUGGGAGCCGGUCCCAGCACCCGGAAGGAAGCUACCCACCUCCAUCCCAGGCUCCUAGGGCAGUGAAGCUCGGCCGGUCCCAGCACCUGGAAGGAAGUUCCCCUGCUACCAUCCCAGGCUCCUAGGGCCAAGAAGGUGACCCAG
rnacentral:lncRNA from 1 species